UCACUUGUUCUUUAAAUGAGGACUCGUAUCAACGGCAUCACGAGGAUCCUACUGUCUCCCCCCUCUAAUCGGUGAAACUGAUCUCUCCGUGAAGAAGCGGAGAUGUACAUAUAAGACGAGAAGACCCCAUGGAGCUUUAAACCCAACGACACCCGCCCCCCUCCAAAUCCUACUAUUUACCCGGNGAUUGUUUGUUUGGUUUUAGGUUGGGGUGACCGCGGAGUAUAAGAUAUCCUCCAUGAAAAAAAGCUAACUGCCCUUAUUAGAGAAAGACACUUCC
rnacentral:rRNA from 1 species